UCUAAAGCAUUGCCUCUGUUUGUCAGUACUGCGAGAAAACGUAGGUACCGAAGAGGUCAGGAAGCUAAAACAAACUCUGGAGCUGCUUUUUGUCGUUAAUGAAGAAGUCUGGAUGCUAAAAUAAACUCUGGAGCUGCUUUUUUGUCGUUAAUGAAGAAGUCUGGAUGCUAAAAUAAACUCUGGAGCUGCUUUUUUGUCCAACACGUGCUGAGAGUGGACGCUGAACACACCUACGGUGCGAAGGUUUACUUGCUCAGCUGCUGCAGCCUGGACAGAAACACCACUUCUCCCCUCACAAUCCAAACAGGUGUCACCACUUUGUCCACGAUCGCAGAGAGUCUUCGUACAGUGAAGUAGUUCUUUGAAACCAGGACUGAGGCCUCCAGGAUUCAAACUCCAACCAUUAAAUCACAGAGAGAAGAGACAGACCUGAAGACAUUUUCAGAAGGUCUUCAGCUGCUGUCGCCUUCUCCUCCUGCAGAGACAAGAACACGUGUUAAUCACAGAAACUGAUGAGUAAAUU